UACAGAGGUCUCAAGCGUUGUUCGGAUUUAUUGGGUUUAAAGGGUGCGUAGGCGGCCCCGUAAGUCAGUGCUGAAAUAUCCCGGCUUAACCGGGAGGGUGGCAUUGAUACUGCGAGGCUUGAGUAAAGUUGAGGUAGGCGGAAUUGACGGUGUAGCGGUGAAAUGCUUAGAUAUCGUCAAGAACACCGAUAGUGUAGACAGCUUACUAAGCUUAA
rnacentral:rRNA from 1 species